CCUUUUUGCCAGCCUUUCUAUGCUACCUUGUUGAUUCCUAGCGCUCUCGAAGACUUUUAUUAGUCGGGCGACCGAGUAGAGGUUUCCCAUCGGGUUUCUCCACAAAACUCCGUCGCGUACAAUGGGGAAUACCGCAGACACGUAAUAAUAAAGGCGCAACCUUUUUUCUACGAUUCAAAGAUCGCGGAUAUGUCGAAUGUGUUAACAAUUCGUGUCAUCUUUUCUUCGCUCAAACAUACAGACCCACAGACCGUUCGCGGUAGACCCACUCUAAAAGAUGGCGCGUGUAAUGAGCGUAUAUUUCGAACUGGUCGUUCCGGGAACUCAAAAUAGUAAAUGAAUCAAAUGAUUUAGCGAAGGUCUCUCUAGAAUCAAACCAGAAAUCAAAUGAGUUAUCAGUGAACACUGAAAUGUGGAUGUGGACAGAGUGACAGGAGAACAUUUGCUGAUAAACACAAGGUGCCUCGUGAUCAAACUCUGGGAAACGACAACAAAGAUGCCAUGUUGGACUUUCAUCAGUGAGGAUAAAAGUCAUCACUUCAAUAACUCCCAGAUCCGUAGCAGAUUUGACAACAUUAAGCUCAGUCCUCAAUAUAGAGAACGAUCUUUCUGGGCUUAUCCGUUUUCUUGAUGUUCUUAGAUUUGAGCGUUUUGGUGGCUGGAAAUAAAGUUAGUAGGAGACCAGUUGGUUAGACUAUCAAGAUUUCCUUGGCUGGCAGUAAAAUCACUGUUGACAUUUUGGAUUACUUUAAGUUCUUUGAAGUCAUCCGCGAACAUUGCCAUUGUGCAGUGACUUAUAACACUUGGCAGGUCGUUAACGUACACUAAGAACAGGAUGGGUCCUAGUAUGGAUCCUUGAGGGACACCAGACUUUAACGGGUUCCAGUUUUAGAAAGAUCCAUUGAUGACCACGCACUAGUAGUAAUAAUAGGGAGCUUAAGCAGGAGAGACUUCGGGGACGACGCCGCAGUCAGAUCCCCGACGGCCUGGGUCUGACGUCGUCGAUCUCCCGCCAAAUUUUAAUUUGUUAAGCACGGAUGCUGUUUUGCCAGGACGCGGCCAUCCUCUGUUCCUGAUAUACUUUUGUUUCUGUUCCGGUUAUGGCCAGUUUUAAAGAGUUUCGUCAGACACUUCUUCUCUACUACGAUGCUGAUCUUAUUAGUGAUGAGGAUUUUAUAAUCUUGUGCGACUCGUUUUCCUCGCGAAAUCCAGAUUUUGCUUAUGAUUCGUACGUUUGCUUUGACAUGGAUAACAUGAACGACGACGAAUGCAUAGCCGAAUUUAGAGUGAGGAAAAGGGAUCUUCCAACACUGGCUCAAGUUCUUAGAAUUCCACCGUCAUUUCAACUUUCUCAGAGGAGCAUUGUAGAUGGUAUGGAAGGCCUGUGUAUGCUCUUAAAGCGACUUGCAUAUCCUUGUAGAUAUGGAGACCUCAUUAACCGUUUUGGACGUCCAGUUCCCGUUUUGAGUAUGGCUACAAAUCAUGUUCUUGAUUACAUUUACAAUACUCACAAUCAUCUCAUAACACGAUGGAAUCACACAAUGCUGACCCCUCGUGCUCUAGAAGUAUACGCAGAAACUAUCCAUGGAAAGGGGGCCACAUUGCAGAACUGUUUUGGAUUUGUGGACGGAACUGUGCGACCUAUAGCUCGACCAGAUGAACACCAACGUAUCAUGUAUAAUGGACAUAAGCGAGUACAGCUUUAAAAUUCCAGUCGCUCACCCUACCGAAUGGACUGAUUGGUAACCUAUAUGGACCUGUAGCUAAGUGAAAAAUUUUUUCCUUUGGUUAGAUUUUCCGUCUCUAAAACUUUUCUAUUAAAAUCGAACAUUCACCUCUCACCAGUUCAUAGCUCACGGUGCAUUCUUGCAAACAGCUCCUGCUCUAUUUUACUCUAAAGUAAACUUACAAACAGCCUUUCAAUUUGUAGACUGAAUGAAAAUAUACGCAGAUCUGAAACAUUUUGAUGCAACAUACAAGAGGUGUGAAAUGGCUAAAAUAACAAUAAAAAAGUCACGUAAGGGAAAAUGUAAAGUUCUCAAUUCUACCUGUACCCUACAGCAGUGUUGUAGAAGUUAUUGUUUCACAUGGUAUUUUGACCAAUCCCUUGUAAUGCCAAAACCAAAAAUGUCAUUCGUAACCAAAGCCUGCAUAUUAUUAGAAAAUAGGUCACUUGAAACAGAUUGACCUAACUUCAUCUAUCAGUAAGCAAUAUAUAUCUGUUUGGAGGUUUUUAUUAAGGUAUUUUCUUUUUCUUCUAGAGGGAAAGAAGCAUGAUUCCAGUAUGCUCAGAGAUUCUGGACUUCUACAAGAUCUUGAACAAUACGCAUUUUCAACUACAGGAAAGGCAAUGUGCAUUUAUGGUGACCCUGCCAACCCCCUAAGGGUUCACCUGCAGGGUCCCUUCAGAGAUGCUCACCUCACCCCUCAGAAGCAGCUCUAGCUUUACAAGCAGUCAAUGAGCUCUGUACGAACAUCGGUUGAAUGGCUAUUUGCAGAUGUCCAAAACUACUUUAAAUUUAUAGACUUCAAGAAAAAUCUCAAAGUGGGGCUCAGUAGUGUUGGUAAAAUGAAUGUAGUAUCUGCCUUACUGCAGAAUGCCCUUACAUGUUUAUAUGGAAGUGAAACCUCGCAGUAUUUUGGGCUAAAUCCCUCAAGCCUGCAAGAUUAUUUUGUUUACUUCAUGACUUUUUUUUAAUAAGAGAAGCCUUGUAUGAACCUUAGAAAAAAGGGAAAUCUCUUAUUCAAACGCAAGUCAGUAAAACCUCCAAGUUAAACUUGAAUUACUAUUUUGUAAAAUUUAUUGACUCUAUAAUUAAAAAAAAAAUGUUUGCUGAA